rnacentral:rRNA from 1 species
UAAACGGUGGGCACUAGUUGUGGGGACCUUCCACGGUCUCUGCGACGCAGCUAACGCAUUAAGUGCCCCGCCUGGGGAGUACGAUCGCAAGAGUAAAACUCAAAGGAAUUGACGGGGCCCCGCACAAGCAGCGGAGCAUGCGGCUUAAUUCGACGCAACGCGAAGAACCUUACCAAGGCUUGACAUAUACAGGAAUAUGGCAGAGAUGUCAUAGCCGCAAGGUCUGUAUACAGGUGGUGCAUGGUUGUCGUCAGCUCGUGUCGUGAGAUGUUGGGUUAAGUCCCGCAACGAGCGCAACCCUCGUUCUGUGUUGCCAGCAUUUAGUUGGGGACUCACAGGAGACUGCCGGGGUUAACUCGGAGGAAGGUGGGGAUGACGUCAAAUCAUCAUGCCCCUUAUGUCUUGGGCUGCACGCAUGCUACAAUGGCUGGUACAAACGGCUGCAAUACCGCAAGGUGGAGCGAAUCCGAGAAAGCCAGUCUCAGUUCGGAUUGGGGUCUGCAACUCGACCCCAUGAAGUCGGAGUUGCUAGUAAUCGUAGAUCAGCAACGCUACGGUGAAUACGUUCCCGGGGCUUGUACACACCGCCCGUCACGUCACGAAAGUCGGUAACACCCGAAGUCAGUGGCCCAACCGCAAGGAGGGAGCUG